GAGUGAGUGAGUGUAUGUGUGAGUGAGGGGGUGAGUGAGUGAGUGAGUGAGGGAGUGAGUGAGUGAGUGAGUGAGUGAGUGAGGGAGUGAGGGAGUAGCACAAGCACCAGCUGACAAUGAGUGGCAGUGUCUGUUGUUUCAUCUGCCUGAACAGCCAGAUAAUCUGCCCUUUUUAUAUCCUCCAGAAUCUGGAAGAACCGUCAGCAGACAGUCCAAAAGUUGGUUCUGAACUGUCUUUGAGGCCUUUAACCACAGUGGCGGUCUUCAGGUGCUCCUCUACUACACCGUCCAGCGAGCCCACAAGGUCGACUAAUCCCCGAAAAAUGCCGGGGUUGUCGGACGAUGCUGUCUCAUCGCGGUCUCGCAAUGCCAGCUCAAAAGCUCCACAGAAUUUCACACACUCGAUCCUCGGUCCAGCUCUUCAUUGUGUUUUCUGACCGCGAUCCUGUGUCCUUCAUCCAGCUGCGCAGCUCUGCUAGUCCUGCCUAGCACGGCUAGCUUGACGGCGUUGUUCAUGUGCACCUUCGAGCAUUCAUGUUUUUAAAUCCGCUGAUAAAUGUUUUAGGUCUCUAACUCCUGUUACAGUCCAUGUAAUAUCUGCCCCCGGCAUUUUAAAAAAGUAAACACGGGAAGCAGAAUACUGCAUUUGCAAAACAACAUCGAGUUAGCCAAGCCUUCAUGUCAUACCGGUUCAGAGAGAAGCUCCUCUGUUGAAGGCUCUGACCUCCUCUCCCCAAAGAAGAGACUUGCCCCCCUCAGUGAGGAUGAGUAUGCAGAUACAGAGGAGACUGAUGUUCCCAUGAGAGAGGAGAAAAGCGUUACUUACCAUUGCCCUUUCUGUCAUACAUGCAGCUCCAUCUUAUUUGUGAUGUGGGUGAAAAUGAGGAUUCGAACAAGAGAGACUGAUGUGCCCAUGAGAGGAGAAAAGCAUUACUUACCAUUGCCCUUUUUGUCAUACAUGCAGACAAUAAACUGGCUGUUACCACGACCAGCAGCUUCAAGUGAUUAUUUACCGAGAAGACACACCAAAGACCGGUUACAUAUAGAAUGUUUGAAAUCCCUGACCAUCCUGCCUCGUCUCUGCCCCAGUAAACACCUGAGCCUUCUGUCCCCGACCACGAGUUCUGCCAGUGCGAGUCCUGUUCCCCGUCUGCCCAUCCCUGUGGCUGUUUGGCAUUCUCCAGCUCCCUCGAUGACAUCUCCAGCCUGCUCCCGAACGCUCGUCACCAACAGCCCCAGCCUUCGGGUCCACGAACUUUCCCGUGUGUGUGAGCUCAGUCAACUCGCUCCACUCACCGGACCCCCAGCUCUCCAGCCCCGGACCCCUUCCUUCCUCAACUACUAAUCCCCACCUGUGUCUGUUCUCUCUGCUGGUUUAUCAAUAAAGGUCAUUACAAACUAUCAAUCUGUUUGGUUGUGCUGCAAGUGGGUCCUAUCACACCCCGUUACAUUACUAUACUAUGAAUUGCUUGAAAUUUCUUUCAUGCCUUA